rnacentral:misc_RNA from 1 species
UUUCCGUAGGUGAACCUGCGGAAGGAUCAUUACUGAGUGAGGGCCCCUCGGGGUCCAACCUCCCACCCGUGUUUAGCGAACCUUGUUGCUUCGGCGGGCCCGCCUCACGGCCGCCGGGGGGCAUCUGCCCCCGGGCCCGCGCCCGCCGAAGCCACCUGUGAACGCUGUCCGAAGUAUGCAGUCUGAGACAAUUAUUAAAUUAAUUAAAACUUUCAACAACGGAUCUCUUGGUUCCG